rnacentral:misc_RNA from 1 species
UUUCCGUAGGUGAACCUGCGGAAGGAUCAUUAAUGAGUUGUCAUGGGGUUCGAUGCUGGCAGCCAAUUUUUGGAUGCAUGUGCUUGCCCUAACAAUCAUCUUCCAAACACCUGUGCACAUUUUUGAGGGAGUCUUGAGUUGGUUGCCGCUCUUGGGUGAAUUUCUCACAUUCCCUUAAAUCAUUAUACGCUAUUAACAAUGUUGAACGUGCUCUGUGCCGCAAGGCUAUUAAUAUAAUACAACUUUUAACAACGGAUCUCUUGGCUCUC